GACGAACGCUGGCGGCGUGCUUAACACAUGCAAGUCGAACGGAAAGGCCUCUUUCGGGGGGUACUCGAGUGGCGAACGGGUGAGUAACACGUGAGUAACCUGCCCUUGACUUUGGGAUAACUUCAGGAAACUGGGGCUAAUACCGGGUAGGAGCUCCUGCUGCAUGGUGGGGGUUGGAAAGUUUCGGCGGGUGGGGGUGGACUCGCGGCUUAUCAGCUUGUUGGUGGGGGAGUGGCUUACCAAGGCUUUGACGGGUAGCCGGCCUGGGAGGGUGACCGGCCACAUUGGGACUGGGAUACGGCCCAGACUCCUACGGGAGGCAGCAAGGGGGAAUAUUGCACAAUGGGUGGGAGCCUGAUGCAGCAACGCCGGGGGCGGGAUGACGGGCUUCGGGGUGGAAACCGCUUUCGCUCAUGACGAAGCUUUGUGUGACGGUAGUGGGUAAAGAAGCACCGGCUAACUACGUG
rnacentral:rRNA from 1 species